rnacentral:misc_RNA from 1 species
ACUCCAUUCAUCAAAACAAUUCCAAAGAUCAGACAAUGUGAAGUAUUCAAUUUCCUCUCUUUCUUUAGGAUGCCAAAGCUUAUUAAGGUUUCUAAUUUCACUCUUGGCAAGGAACUGUGAUGCAACUAAUGGUGUUGUAGAACCCAAAAAAGACUCAAGAUUUGAUUGCAUUGAGCCUUUCUCCAUUGUUUUCAAAGGGGAAAAUGAACAAACACAAAGAGAGCAAGAGAGAAAGAGAAAUGAAACUGAUUGCUUCUCUCUCUCUUUCUAACUAUAUGAUGAUAAAAAAAAAAA